GACGAACGCUGGCGGCGUGCUUAACACAUGCAAGUCGAACGAAAAGAGGGAAAGAGCUUGCUCUUUCCGGAAUUGAGUGGCAAACGGGUGAGUAACACGUAAACAACCUGCCUUCAGGAUGGGGACAACAGACGGAAACGACUGCUAAUACCGAAUAAGUUCCAAGAGCCGCAUGGCCCAUGGAAGAAAAGGUGGCCUCUACCUGUAAGCUAUCGCCUGAAGAGGGGUUUGCGUCUGAUUAGCUGGUUGGAGGGGUAACGGCCCACCAAGGCGACGAUCAGUAGCCGGUCUGAGAGGAUGAACGGCCACACUGGAACUGAGACACGGUCCAGACUCCUACGGGAGGCAGCAGCGGGGAAUCUUCCGCAAUGGGCGAAAGCCUGACGGAGCAACGCCGCGUGAGUGAUGACGGCCUUCGGGUUGUAAAACUCUGUGAUCCGGGACGAAAAGGCAGAGUGCGAAGAACAAACUGCAUUGACGGUACCGGAAAAGCAAGCC
rnacentral:rRNA from 1 species